UCGUCGCAAAAUGAUAAAUGUAGGAAACAACAUAGUAAACCAAAAGGGAAAAGAAACAAAUCGACGAAGUAUUUGUCUGACAAUGACUCUUCUGAUUUGUCACAGUAUGAAUCAGAUAUUAAUAGUUAUCCUCCCACAAGCCCUCUUAUAUCAAGUGAUGGAAACUUAGUUCAAAAUAUACCAACCGAGGUUGUAACUAAAUCGACCGAAUGUAACAUUCCUCGAAAUUUUGAUGCUGAUUUCCAGAAGCAAGUAUUAAAAGAACUAAAUGCUAUACACUUG